CAAUAGCGUAUAUUUAAGUUGUUGCAGUUAAAAAGCUCGUAGUUGGAUUUCGGAUGGGACUUGCCGGUCCGUCGUUUCGAUGUGCACUGGCCAGUCCUAUCUUGUUGUCGGGGACUAGCUCCUGGGCUUCACUGUCCGGGACUAGGAGCUGACGAGGUUACUUUGAGUAAAUUAGAGUGUUCAAAGCAAGCCUACGCUCUGAAUACAUUAGCAUGGAAUAACACGAUAGGACUCUGGCUUAUCUUGUUGGUCUGUGAGACCAGAGUAAUGAUUAAGAGGGACAGUCGGGGGCAUUCGUAUUUCAUUGUCAGAGGUGAAAUUCUUGGAUUUAUGAAAGACGAACUUCUGCGAAAGCAUUUGUCAAGGAUGUCUCCAUUAA
rnacentral:rRNA from 1 species